rfam:Basidiobolus meristosporus CBS 931.73 K493scaffold_18, whole genome shotgun sequence.
UGAGAUGAUGAAACGCACUGGGCACUGACCAGUUUAGACGCUGGGACAUUGACGAUAUGCAUUUUCGGGCCUAGAAAACCCGUGACUGAUCA